GAGAGGAGCAGCCAUCAGGCUGAAUCAUCUUGACAAGGCGGCAUGGCCCAAUUACACUAGAGCUCCACCGGGCUUUGAUGUGGCGGAAAAGCAGAGAGAUAGGGGCAAAUUGCACAGCCAUAUUAUGCCCCUCAGAUUGGAAUUGUCUUGGGUUAUGGCGCUGGGCCCUGUCUGUAUGGUUAAUUAGUCUGACGAGUAGCCACCGUACUCCUCUCCGCUCUCCACGCCGUCACGCCUGCAGCAACUUGGUUUAUUGUUCCUGAUGACUGACUAGCAUGCAGCGGAGAGCGGAUCAAACUCAAGAGAAGGAGCGCGACUGAUCAGCUGUCACAGGAGAAGACAGAUAGAGUGGCUGGUUGAACCUAAAAGCUUUGCAUUUAAAGAAUGAGUGACUCAAUCAUUCACAGCUUUGAGGAAAGACGGGCUUGCUAACCUUCAUGUGAACCCACCUGUGGACCAUUUCCAACUGUUAGACCACUAUUAUAUGAGGGGGGAAAAGAAAGA